rnacentral:lncRNA from 1 species
CUUUCUUGUGUCAGCUAACUGCACUUGCAGGCUCCAAGGAGACCUUACAACUGGAUGGGAACACUGCUUUUGUUGUGAUGCCUAGGGAUAGAGCUGCCACGUUGCUAUCCUGCAAGUGUUGUGCUGCAAACCCAGCUUCUGCGUGUCCUCAUAUGCAUUUCCUUCCAGUUUUAGGUACAGAUGCAGAUAUUUUUGGGGAGUUUUCUUCAAGGCCUCAUAUAUCAUCUGUCCUGUAAAUGAUUGCAGUGGCACCAGCUCCUGUCCUUGGCUGUGCUUCUUUGUCAAGCACAGCAGCGAUAGCAAUCACUUCAGGUUUUGCAAACCUGCAGAUCACUAUUGCCAAUCUUUGUAUGAACGAGAGCUAAUUAAUCUUCACCACAUCUUUGUGAAGAAUGACAGCAGAACGUGGCAGAUGAAAAUGAUGGAAGCAAGGCUCAUUAGGAUUCCAUGUCCUUUGAAUGGUACAGCUGGAAAGAAGAAGAGAGACAGAGAUUCUCCUUUGUUUUGAACUUUCAGUUGGACCAAAGACUUGUGCUUCAGAAAAGCUAUGCUGCUCUCCCAAAGGCCAUCCUUCACUUCUGUUCUGCCUCGUUGCCUCGCCUCCCCACAUGAGAGAAAACCCCCAACCAUAUCGUCUCCCUCGAGCUCUAAGAAAACAGGUAAUGAUUCAUGGAUGUGCACUGAAAUUUCAAAAAUGUGCACUGACUUUUUAGAAAUAUGCCAACUGUCAAAUAAAAAAUAAAAUUAAAAAUCA